rnacentral:rRNA from 1 species
UGGAGGAAUAUUGGUCAAUGGGGCGGGAGCCUGAACCAGCCAAGUCGCGUGAGGGAAGACGGUCCUAUGGAUUGUAAACCUCUUUUGUCGGGGGAGCAAAGAGGCCACGUGUGGUCAAAAGCGAG